rnacentral:rRNA from 1 species
CAGCAGCCGCGGUAAUACGUAGGUGGCAAGCGUUGUCCGGAAUUAUUGGGCGUAAAGGGCUCGCAGGCGGCUCGAUAAAUUAGAAGUGAAAGCCUUGGGCUUAACCUGAGAAUUGCUUUUAAGACUGUCGAGCUAGAAUCCAGAAGAGGGUAGUGGAAUUCCGAGUGCAGAGGUGAAAUUCGUAGAUAUUCGGAAGAGCACCAGUGGCGAAGGCGACUACCUGGUCUGGCAUUGACGCUCAUGUGCGAAAGCGUGGGGAGCAAACAGGAUUAGAUACCCCUGUAGUCCCUGUCUCUUAUAC